rnacentral:tRNA from 1 species
ACGUUAUAAGUAUGGAAAUACACCUAACUUCCAAUUAGGAGACUAUAGUAAUGACCCUAUAAUAACGUA